rnacentral:rRNA from 1 species
GACGUAGGGCGCGAGCGUUGUCCGGAUUUAUUGGGCGUAAAGAGCUCGUAGGCGGCUUGUCGCGUCGACUGUGAAAACCCGCGGCUCAACCGCGGGCUUGCAGUCGAUACGGGCAGGCUAGAGUUUGGUAGGGGAGACUGGAAUUCCUGGUGUAGCGGUGAAAUUCGUAGAUAUUAGGAAGAACACCGGUGGCGAAGGCG